AUGACAGAGGCAGCCACAUUUCAGAUGCCUUCUGCCCUAAGACGGUUGUUUGCAACUAUAUUGGUAUUUUGCGAGGCAACAGAAAUCCGACAAUUGUGGGAUAAACAUCUACCAUCAAUGUGUGAGGACUACCGUCGUAAUGAAUCCAAUGAGUCAGUACUUGAGCAGAUGGUCCUUCGAGAUAUUAGGGAUACUAGUAAUCAUGGUGGAGUCAAAGUAAACCGCUAUGGACUUCCAGAUCUGGUUGAGACCGAUGGUUCUUAUGACAGUGAGUACAGAGAGGUAACAGAGGAGAGGAAAAUUACCGCGGACAUAGAACAUCUAGAUCUAUUUAGUAGUUUGAACAAUGAGCAGCUAGCUGGUUUCAAUGACAUAAUGGAUCAUGUGAUGAACAAAAAGCUAGAUAUUCUUUGUUGA
rnacentral:rRNA from 1 species